GACGAACGCUGUCGGCGUGCUUAACACAUGCAAGUCGAACGGAAAGGCCCUGCUUUUGUGGGGUGCUCGAGUGGCGAACGGGUGAGUAACACGUGAGUAACCUGCCCUUGACUUUGGGAUAACUUCAGGAAACUGGGGCUAAUACCGGAUAGGAGCUCCUGCUGCAUGGUGGGGGUUGGAAAGUUUCGGCGGCUGGGGAUGGACUCGCGGCUUAUCAGCUUGUUGGUGGGGUAGUGGCUUACCAAGGCUUUGACGGGUAGCCGGCCUGAGAGGGUGACCGGCCACAUUGGGACUGAGAUACGGCCCAGACUCCUACGGGAGGCAGCAGUGGGGAAUAUUGCACAAUGGGCGGAAGCCUGAUGCAGCAACGCCGCGUGCGGGAUGACGGCCUUCGGGUUGUAAACCGCUUUCGCCUGUGACGAAGCGUGAGUGACGGUAAUGGGUAAAGAAGCACCGGCUAACUACGUGCCAGCAGCCGCGGUGAUACGUAGGGUGCGAGCGUUGUCCGGAUUUAUUGGGCGUAAAGGGCUCGUAGGUGGUUGAUCGCGUCGGAAGUGUAAUCUUGGGGCUUAACCCUGAGCGUGCUUUCGAUACGGGUUGACUUGAGGAAGGUAGGGGAGAAUGGAAUUCCUGGUGGAGCGGUGGAAUGCGCAGAUAUCAGGAGGAACACCAGUGGCGAAGGCGGUUCUCUGGGCCUUUCCUGACGCUGAGGAGCGAAAGCGUGGGGAGCGAACAGGCUUAGAUACCCUGGUAGUCCACGCUGUAAACGGUGGGUACUAGGUGUGGGGUCCAUUCCACGGGUUCCGUGCCGUAGCUAACGCUUUAAGUACCCCGCCUGGGGAGUACGGCCGCAAGGCUAAAACUCAAAGGAAUCGACGGGGCCCCGCACAAGCGGCGGAGCAUGCGGAUUAAUUCGAUGCAACGCGUAGAACCUUACCUGGGUUUGACAUGGAUCGGGAGUGCUCAGAGAUGGGUGUGCCUCUUUUGGGGUCGGUUCACAGGUGGUGCAUGCCUGUCGUCAGCUCGUGUCGUGAGAUGUUGGGUUAAGUCCCGCAACGAGCGCAACCCUUGUUCACUGUUGCCAGCACGUUAUGGUGGGGACUCAGUGGAGACCGCCGGGGUCAACUCGGAGGAAGGUGGGGAUGACGUCAAGUCCUCAUGCCCCUUAUGUCCAGGGCUUCACGCAUGCUACAAUGGCUGGUACAGAGAGUGGCGAGCCUGUGAGGGUGAGCGAAUCUCGGAAAGCCGGUCUCAGUUCGGAUUGGGGUCUGCAACUCGACCUCAUGAAGUCGGAGUCGCUAGUAAUCGCAGAUCUGCAACGCUGCGGUGAAUACGUUCCCGGGGCU
rnacentral:rRNA from 1 species